rnacentral:rRNA from 1 species
CCUACGGGAGGCAGCAGUGGGGAAUCUUGCGCAAUGGGCGAAAGCCUGACGCAGCCAUGCCGCGUGAAUGAUGAAGGUCUUAGGAUUGUAAAAUUCUUUCACCGGGGACGAUAAUGACGGUACCCGGAGAAGAAGCCCCGGCUAACUUCGUGCCAGCAGCCGCGGUAAUACGAAGGGGGCUAGCGUUGCUCGGAAUUACUGGGCGUAAAGGGAGCGUAGGCGGAUAGUUUAGUCAGAGGUGAAAGCCCAGGGCUCAACCUUGGAAUUGCCUUUGAUACUGGCUAUCUUGAGUACGGAAGAGGUAUGUGGAACUCCGAGUGUAGAGGUGAAAUUCGUAGAUAUUCGGAAGAACACCAGUAGCGAAGGCGACAUACUGGUCCGUUACUGACGCUGAGGCUCGAAAGCGUGGGGAGCAAACAGGAUUAGAUACCCUGGUAGUCCACGCUGUAAACGAUGAGUGCUAGUUGUCGGCAUGCAUGCAUGUCGGUGACGCAGCUAACGACAUUAAGACACUCCGCCGUCGGGGAGGUACGGUCGCGAAGAAUUAAAACUAACAAAUAGAAGUUAGACGGCGUGAGACGUGCCGAACGGACGACGACGAGGGAGGUUAGG